GGAACACAUCCGCAGAGGGGCUACCGAGGGCUUGUUUGACGGGUGUGGAAGGACUUCUUGAACCAGGCCACUACACUCACAGUGCUGUGAUGAACAGACAUGGAGUAAAAUCUUUGCAGUCAUCCAUGACUACUGCUUUGGGAUGACUUUCCAGAAGGAUUUUCUGAGCAACAGCCAUAAAACACAUAUAAGCAGAGAAAGUGGAUUUCUGUCCUCAAAGCUCUCCUCAUACUGUUGGAAGGCAAGAUUCACACA